CCUGCGUUCCAUUAGCUACGUUGGUGGGGUAACGGCCUACCAAGGCAACGAUGGGUAGCCGAUCCGAGAGGAUGAUCGGCCACACUGCAACUGAAACACGGUCCAGACUCCUACGGGAGGCAGCAGUGGGGAAUAUUGCGCAAUGGGCGAAAGCCUGACGCAACGACGCCGCGUGAGGGAUGAGGGUCUUCGGAUCGUAAACCUCUGUCAGAAGGGAAGAAACUAGGGUGCUCUAAUCAUCAUCCUACUGACGGUACCUUCAAAGGAAGCACCGGCUAACUCCGUGCCAGCAGCCGCGGUAAUACGGAGGGUGCAAGCGUUAAUCGGAAUCACUGGGCGUAAAGCGCACGUAGGCUGUUAUGUAAGUCAGGGGUGAAAUCCCACGGCUCAACCGUGGAACUGCCCUUGAUACUGCAUGACUUGAAUCCGAGAGAGGGUAGCGGAAUUCCAGGUGUAGGAGUGAAAUCCGUAGAUAUCUGGAGGAACAUCAGUGGCGAAGGCGGCCACCUGGACCGGUAUUGACGCUAAGGUGCGAAAGCGUAGGGAGCAAACAGGAUUAGAUACCCUGGUAGUCCACGCCGUAAACGAUGGACGCU
rnacentral:rRNA from 1 species